rnacentral:tRNA from 1 species
GCCCCCAUCGUCUAGUGGCUUAGGACACCUCUCUUUCAAGGAGGCGACGGGGAUUCAAAUUCCCCUGGGGGUACCA